GCCUGUCAAACAACUGUUGGUAAACCAGAUUAAAGGGGCAUGCUGGUGAUUCAACAACUGCCCGAGUGGAAAGCGCAUGAAUGGACUUCCGAGAAAAAAUUACGUUCAGAGGAGCCUUAAGCAGCUGCAUCUUUGUGUCUGCAGUUACUGUACAAA